GGGGAUGCAAUGGUUUCGACGGGGAUUUUGAACCUUGAGGAGCGAGUAGCGGUGGGAACCGCUUUAACAAUCCUAAAUUUUAAAAUUAAACGCUAACGAUAAUUUAGCUUACGCUGCCUAAUUAUGGCGGCCAUCCUUACCUUACGUACCGCAGUUAGGCUAAGGGUGUCAUCUUAGCGGUGAACGUGCGUCGUCAAAGCUUUGAGGCGACCAUGAACAAUGAAGCUACUAAUUAUUUGAGUUUGUUUGUGAACUUGAAUAAAAGGGAAUGUUAAUCACAAACUGCACUCGGAGAGCCACAGGCGGAUAGGUUUUCGGACAGGAGUUCGAUUCUCCUCAUCUCCACCA
rnacentral:tmRNA from 1 species